UACGGAGGGUGCAAGCGUUAUCCGGAUUUACUGGGUUUAAAGGGUGCGUAGGUGGGCCUGUAAGUCAGUGGUGAAAUCUCCGGGCUUAACCCGGAAACUGCCAUUGAUACUAUAGGUCUGAAUCAUCUGGAGGUGAGCGGAAUAUGUCAUGUAGCGGUGAAAUGCUUAGAUAUGACAUAGAACACCAAUUGCGAAGGCAGCUCACUACGGGUGCAUUGAC
rnacentral:rRNA from 1 species